UACGUAGGGUGCAAGCGUUGUCCGGAAUUAUUGGGCGUAAAGAGCUUGUAGGCGGUCUGUCGCGUCUGCUGUGAAAAUCCGGGGCUCAACCCCGGACUUGCAGUGGGUACGGGCAGACUAGAGUGUGGUAGGGGGAGACUGGAAUUCCUGGUGUAGCGGUGAAAUGCGCAGAUAUCAGGAGGAGCACCGAUGGCGAAGGCAGGUCUCUGGGCCACUACUGACGCUGAGAAGCGAAAGUAUGGGGAGCGAACAGG
rnacentral:rRNA from 1 species